rnacentral:rRNA from 1 species
CCGUCGCUGGUGGAUGCGGAACUGGAGUGGCGUGAUAACGCCGGACAGCUCAUCGUGAUGGCGCGAGGUAAUCCUGACCCGAUUCUCGAUCUCCCCUGGGCGGUAACGCGUCAGCGGCUUACCAUCAAUGCAAACUGCGAAUACCGGAGAAUGUUAUCACGGGAGACACACGGCGGGUGCUAACGUCCGUCGUGAAGAGGGAAACAACCCAGACCGCCAGCUAAGGUCCCAAAGUCAUGGUUAAGUGGGAAACG